rnacentral:rRNA from 1 species
GAGACAGUUCGGUCCCUAUCUGCCGUGGUCGUUAGAGAUUUGAGGGAAGCUGCUCCUAGUACGAGAGGACCGGAGUGGACGAACCUCUGGUGUUCCGGUUGUCACGCCAGUGGCAUUGCCGGGUAGCUAUGUUCGGAAGGGAUAACCGCUGAAAGCAUCUAAGCGGGAAGCCCCUCCCAAGAUUAGUUCUCACUAGACUCUCGAAGUCUCUGAAGGUCCGUCGAAGACUACGACGUUGAUAGGCCAGGUGUGGAAGCACAGUAAUGUGUGUAGCUAACUGGUACUAAUUGACCGUGCGGCUUGACCAU